rnacentral:rRNA from 1 species
CCUACGGGUGGCAGCAGUGAGUAAUAUUGGUCAAUGGGCGGAAGCCUGAACCAGCCAAGUAGCGUGCGGGAUGAAGGCCCUACGGGUCGUAAACCGCUUUUGCACGGGGAUAACACCCUCCACUUGUGGAGGUCUGCAGGUACCGUGCGAAUAAGGGCCGGCAAAUUCCGUGCCAGCAGCCGCGGUAAUACGGAAGGCCCGAGCGUUAUCCGGAUUCAUUGGGCUUAAAGGGAGCGUAGGCGGGCGUUAAAGUCAGUGGUAAAAUCGCGCGGCUCAACCGCGCCCCGCAGUUGAAACUGGACGCCUUGAGUGCACAAGAGGCAGGCGGAAUUCGUGGUGUAGCGGUGAAAUGCGUAGAUAUCACGAGGAACCCCGGUGGCGAAGGCAGCCUGCCGGGGUGCGACUGACGCUGAGGCGCGAAGGUGCGGGGAUCAAACAGGAUUAGAUACCCGAGUAGUC